rnacentral:rRNA from 1 species
UGGGGAAUAUUGGACAAUGGGCGCAAGCCUGAUCCAGCCAUGCCGCGUGAGUGAUGAAGGCCUUAGGGUUGUAAAGCUCUUUCGCCGACGAAGAUAAUGACGGUAGUCGGAGAAGAAGCCCCGGCUAACUUCGUGCCAGCAGCCGCGGUAAUACGAAGGGGGCUAGCGUUGUUCGGAAUCACUGGGCGUAAAGCGCACGUAGGCGGAUUGUUAAGUCAGGGGUGAAAGCCUGGAGCUCAACUCCAGAACUGCCCUUGAUACUGGCAAUCUCGAGUCCGGAAGAGGUAAGUGGAACUGCGAGUGUAGAGGUGAAAUUCGUAGAUAUUCGCAAGAACACCAGUGGCGAAGGCGGCUUACUGGUCCGGUACUGACGCUGAGGUGCGAAAAGCGUGGGGAGCAAACAGGAUUAGAUACCCUGGUAGUCCACGCCGUAAAACGAUGGAGGCUAGCCGUUGGCGAGCAUGCUCGUCAGUGGCGCAGCUAACGCAUUAAGCCUCCCGCCU